GAGAAAGUAAGCAAGGGCAGACGGUGGAUGCCUUGGCUCUCGGAGGCGACGAAGGACGUGAUAAGCUGCGAAAAGCCCGGGGGAGGCGCAAAUAGCCGUUGAUCCCGGGAUAUCCGAAUGGGGCAACCCGGCAGGCUGAAGGCCUGUCAUCCCGAAAGGGAGGCGAACGUGGGGAACUGAAACAUCUAAGUACCCAUAGGAGGAGAAAAUAAACAAUGAUUCCGUAAGUAGUGGCGAGCGAACACGGAAGAGCCCAAACCCAUGUCGUCUAGGCGACACGGGGGUUGUAGGACCACGACGUGGCAAGAAGGAAGGGAAAUGGAACGCCUUGGAAAAGUCGGCCAUAGACGGUGAAAGCCCGGUACAUGACUCCCUUACGAAGCCUAGUGGUAUCCUGAGUAGCGCGGGGCACGAGAAAUCUUGCGUGAAGCAGCGGGGCCCAUCCCGUAAGGCUAAAUACUCCCGAGAGACCGAUAGCGAACCAGUACCGUGAGGGAAAGGUGAAAAGAACCCCGAGCAGGGGAGUGAAAUAGACCCUGAACCCGUCUGCCUACAAGCGGUCGGAGCGUCGUAAUGACGUGACGGCGUGCCUUUUGCAUAAUGAACCUACGAGUUACCUUCCCCGGCAAGGUUAAGUACCUAAGGUACGGAGCCGAAGCGAAAGCGAGUCUGAACAGGGCGCCAAGUCGGGGGGGGUAGACGCGAAACCGAGUGAUCUACCCUUGGCCAGGUUGAAGGUUGGGUAACACCAACUGGAGGACCGGAUGGGUAAGCGUUGAAAAGCUUUCCAAUGAGCUGAGGGUAGGGGUGAAAGGCUAAUCAAACUCGGAGAUAGCUCGUACUCCCCGAAAUGCAUUUAGGUGCAGCCUCUUUAUAGUAUAUCGUGAGGUAGAGCGACUGAUUGGAUGCGAGGGCUUCACCGCCUAUCAAGUCCAGAUAAACUCCGAAUGCGCGAUAUAUAUUUACAGGGAGUGAGGGCGCGGGUGCUAAGGUCCGUGUCCGAGAGGAGAAGAAUCCAGACCACCGGCUAAGGCCCCCAAAUGAUCGUUAAGUUGAACUAACGAGGUCGGAUCGCAGAGACAGCUAGGAUGUUGGCUUGGAAGCAGCCAUUCAUUUAAAGAGUGCGUAACAGCUCACUAGUCGAGCGAUCUGGCGUGGAUAAUAAUCGGGCAUAAACGAUCUGCCGAAGCCGUGGAUGUCGCAAGACAUGGUAGGGGAGCAUUCCAUGCCGCGUCGAAGAUGAGGGAUGACCCUUGUUGGAGCGCAUGGAAAAGCAAAUGUAGGUAUGAGUAACGAUAAGGGGGGCGAGAAACCCCCCCGCCGAAAGACCAAGGUUUCCUGAUCAACGCUAAUCGGAUCAGGGUGAGUCGGGACCUAAGGCAAAGCCGAACGGCGCCGCCGAUGGAAGAAUGGGUUAAUAUUCCCAUACUGCCUCAUGGAGUGACGUGGAGACGGAGAAGUGACAGUCCUGCCGGCUGACGGAAUAGCCGGUUGAAGGGUGUAGAUAUUGAUUCCCGUAGGCAAAUCCGCGGGGAGAGUCGAACCUGAGAGUAUACGGAGCGCUUGCGCAACGUAAUAUGGACGUAACCAUGCUCCCGAGAAAAUCCGCUAAACUUAUCCAUGCGGCACCCGUACCGUAAACGGACACACGUGGUCGGGUUGAGAAUACUGAGGCGCUCGAGUGAUUCACGGUUAAGGAACUAGGCAAAUUGACCCUGUAACUUCGGGAUAAAGGGUCCUCGUCGUAAGGCGAGGCGCAGAGAAUAGGUCCAGGCAACUGUUUAACAAAAACACAUGGCUGUGCUAAAUGGAAACAUGAUGUAUACAGCCUGACACCUGCCCGGUGCCGGAAGGUUAAGAGGAGAUGUCAUCGCGAGAGAAGCGUUGAAUUGAAGCCCCGGUAAACGGCGGCCGUAACUAUAACGGUCCUAAGGUAGCGAAAUUCCUUGUCGGGUAAGUUCC
rnacentral:rRNA from 1 species